rnacentral:rRNA from 1 species
CAGUAGCCGCGGUAAUACGUAGGUGGCAAGCGUUGUCCGGAAUUAUUGGGCGUAAAGGGCUCGCAGGCGGUUUCUUAAGUCUGAUGUGAUAGCCCCCGGCUCAACCGGGGAGGGUCAUUGGAAACUGGGAAACUUGAGUGCAGAAGAGGAGAGUGGAAUUCCACGUGUAGCGGUGAAAUGCGUAGAGAUGUGGAGGAACACCAGUGGCGAAGGCGACUCUCUGGUCUGUAACUGACGCUGAGGAGCGAAAGCGUGGGGAGCGAACAGGAUUAGAUACCCCAGUAGUCCCUGUCUCUUAUAA